rnacentral:rRNA from 1 species
GGUCAGGACGAACGCUGGCGGCGUGCCUAACACAUGCAAGUCGAGCGGAGUCAGUAAGAGGAAGUUUCGGAUGGAAUCUGUUGAUUAGCGGCGGACGGGUGAGUAACGCGUGAGCGACCAACCUUGCACAGGGGGAUAACGGACCGAAAGGUUCACUAAUACCGCAUGAGACCACGGUGUUGCAUGACACAGGGGUCAAAGGAGCAAUCCGGUGCAAGACGGGCUCGCGUCCGAUUAGGUAGUUGGAGGGGUAACGGCCCACCAAGCCUAUGAUCGGUAGCCGACCUGAGAGGGUGAUCGGCCACAUUGGAACUGAGAUACGGUCCAAACUCCUACGGGAGGCAGCAGUGGGGAAUAUUGGGCAAAUGGGGGAAACCCUGACCCAGCAACGCCGCGUGAAGGAAGAAGGUUUUCGGAUUGUAAACUUCUGUCCUUGGUGAAGAGAAGAAGACGGUAGCCAAGGAGGGAGCCCCGGCUAACUACGUGCCAGCCGCUGC